CUUGGGGUUGUGUGCUUUCAUCUAGCUGUUUUAUUACUUCCAGGAGGUAUGUAAUCCAUUUGUUGAUAAGAUCAGUUUGAUAACCUCUUUACUAUCAAGGAAACAAAGAACAGAAAAGCUUUAUAAUAAGAAUCCAUAUAUUAAAACAAAGCUUGUAUAUUUCCUUUAAUAUUAUUAUUUUAACAUAUUGCUUUUUUAUUUUUGUUUUCAUAUUUUGCCUGUAUGUUGUCUUUUUUGGCAUGUUUCAGGCUAUUACUUUGUAAGUGUUGGAAAAUGUACAUUUCUUUCCAAGCCAGUUUUGUCACUGGAGGCAACUUUGGGGUUAAACCGUUCAUCAGUUAGAUGAUGUUGUUUUGGUGCCUUCAGUGUCCCUUUAAGAGAACAUUCGUAGCUCUGCAAUAAUAUAUGCGCUUUGCAUAGGUUAUGGUGUUGGGAGGUCCCAUCUCCCUGUCUCUCUGCAUUUGCUGUAACUAUAACUUUAACGCCACCUUCUUAGUGAGAGAUAUCCUUAGAGCAGGGGUAGACAGUCGCUGGCACUCCAGAUGUUGUGGACUACAACUCACCUGAUGUCUUGCCAGCAUUGUAGAUAUAAAGAACAACAUGGAAGAUGUAGUCCAAAACAUCUGGAGUGCUGAAGGAAUCUUCCCCACAUACUGUGUCAGGAACCAUCAUAGCUCAUUGUGAAGGAAUGUCAGCCGUAGUCUAAUGCAUGCACAGACACACUAUCACAUCUAAAAGCUGGCAAACUGUGAGUGGAGCUUACAUCAAGCCGAUAUUAGACAGUGCAGCUGCUGUCAGCUUAGGCAGAAAUGUUGUUUAUCCUUUGCAAUUAAAGAAAUACUAUAGUGUUAGGUAUAAAAAUCUUUAUUACUAACACUAUAAAACUACAAGGCUUUACAUUUCAGGACUAAGGGCAAUAGGGGCACUGUACUCAGACCACUUCAGUGAGCUGAAGUGGUCUUGGUGUCUAUAGUGUACCUUUAAAUAAAUGUGACAGAAAUGCUUGCUGCUAACGUUUUUAUGGGGCAUUAUUAGUUCACUUAAAAAUAUAAUAACUCCGAAAGAGAUGGAGUCAAAUGUAUUGAAGCACUCUUCCAUGGACAAUAUGCCUUGAGUACAGUUCGCACCGUAUGUGUGAGCUUGGUGAUGCUCUCAUGAAAUGCUUGUUACCAACAUUUCUCUGGUGGCCAUUUUUUAGGGUCAAUAACCAAAGGAGUGGGACCCAAAUUCAGGAAUAUCCAGUAAGAGGUGUGGAACAGAACACAAAUUUCAGGGAUAUUCAUAUAUUCACCCACAAUUCUGGAUAUAAUUUUCAAAAAUACAUAUUUUAUCAAAUGUCAGAUCUAGAAAAGUAUAUAACCCUGCAUGUUUUUGCUGUUGAUGGGUGGAAGAAAGUUCAGUAUAAUGCAAAGGACUUUGGAAAGUACUUCUGCUGAGGCAUCGUUUUAUGGGGUGUAAUAAAAGUAAUGAUGUCCUUACUCCUCUGGCCAUUAUAAUGCUGUCCAUAGUAUGGAUCACACAUUUCCUGUGUUUUAAAGAGCUACUCUUACGUGCAGUGGUGUUUAAUAUGAAAUGCUCUGACCAAUAUGUAGGGAUCUGUUCAAAGUUUGCAGUAUUCUUUGAAAUAAAGUCUCUUACACAUUUAACUUUUUGAGUUAAUAUUUAAGUAAUACAUCAAGCACCAUAACCACUACAGACUACAAUGUGCUGUAGUGGUUAUCGGGAUAUACCAUUUAAGUAGUCAAACUGGUAACAUUUGGCUUCUUACCUGAGGUAAAAACUAAUCUCCCUCAGCCAAUGAGCUAAGCCCUGCACUGCUGGGUUUAGCUCAAACCUGAGAACCUACAGCGAAGAGGAGGCAGGUAGUGGCACCCCAGGGUACUCCAUCUCACCAUAGUGUUUAUGGCCCGUAAAAAUGAACUAAAAAAACUGUAUCGUUCUAUUAGAAAGUUAUGGGAAAAUGGAUGGAUGGGCUUUUGGUACAGACGUGUAGCUUUGCCAGUAUGUCCACGACCUGAGGACACUGUUUCUCUUUUGACAGGGAUAAACAUUAAUGGCAAUAGCUCUGCAAGCUAUUCUGCAGUUCAAAGAUUAUAAAGGAAUAUAUCAAUUUGACUCUUACCAGUGUGUGUAUAUUCAAAUCAAUGGGGAUCCAUCAGAGGUGCACAGAGAUCCAAUUUGGGUCCCAUGCAGAGAUUAAUAGGAACCAUCACUUCUCUUGAAAUUGCGCCAUUGAGUAAAAGAGUCAGGUUUUUGUGAUGCUAUGUUUUCUUUCUAGACUAUAUUAAAGAUUUACCAACUGACAUAAUCCAGAUCACACUGGCACAGCCAGGGCACACAUGGCAUUGGAGUCAUAAAAACAAUCUUAUUUUGUUUCUGUUUCUUCACAUACUCUGUUGAAUGACAGAAAAAGGCAGAAUUUACAUGGCUGGCUGAAAAGGUUAGCGUAGAGGCACGCGGAUAGCACUAAAUAAAGCAGUAGAAAUGUCUAUAUUACAUUUUAUUUUACCUCUUAUACAUAGUUGUACAAUAUAUGAGAGAAGUGAACGUAGUAUUAAAAAUCUAAAGAAGUGACCAGUUCCCAUUUAAUAAUCAGUGCAUACUUCUGUUAAUUUUAUUUUGUUCAUUACAACAUUGAUACAUAGAAACAUAGAAUGUGACUGCAUAUAAGAACCAUUCGGCCAAUCUAGUCUUGUUUUGUGUGUCUUUUCUAGAUUUCUGUGUUAUUUAUAUAAGUACUAAAUAAUUUGUGGUGAGAUCAAAUGUGAUAAAACUCCCCACUGCUUAGCACAAAUUCAAAAUUUACUAUAUAAAUCAUCUGUAUAUCUCAAGUAGGACCUGGGGAAAAGUCUGCCUUGGGCACUGUAAUUUCAAGAUGUUAUGUUACUGCAAUUCUUCCCAGAUUGACAUGCAAAGGAGUAUUGAUAUGCAUCAUAUUUCAGACAUCAUUCUGCAUUUCUGCAGGCAUUCUUGGGAAAUAAGAACUGUUUGUGGGUUUUGAUCCAAAUGGACCAGUUUCCUGGAAUUACCUUUCCCAAAGGAGAACUCAGAUAUGUAGACGAUGCACAACCAUAAAUUCUGAUUUUGCCUAAAUCCUUGUGGAGUUUUAUUGUUUGGUCUCACCACAACAUAGUUGAUACUUAGCUAUAUGCUGACCGAAAGACUUCGAAUCCCUGACCAAACCCAGCACCACCCUGACAACACCCAUGGUUGGUUUCUGUCAUUGACCAUUUUGGAUCACAGCCCAUGCUAUGGUAUAAAUAGUUGCAUUUGAAUCAAUACCUAAUUGUUAAGGGUGUCUACAGAAAUGCAGGGUGUCUGAAAACACAAUGCCUGUCUUUGUUGAUCAAAACCCACAAGCAUUUCUUAUUUCCCAAGAAUGCCUGGAGAAAUGCAGGAUGAUGUCUGAAAUAUGAUGCUUAUCAAUGCUCCCUUGCAUGUCCAUAAAUAUGUGUUUAUGUGAUCCAUAAGGAAAUUGAUUAUAAUAAAAGUAUUAUAAUAAAAGUUGACAAUGGUUGUGCUGGUGGUUAAGCCUGUAAGAAAGAGAGCAAAAAUGAUAAAUGCUAAAUGUUUCUAUAUUUACAUAUAUGAACAAUGGUCUUAAAAGCAUGCCUAAUUUCUAGCUCUGGCUGAGGUAUGUACCUACAGUAGGCAGAGGACUUCCAACAGCCCAUCUUCUUUAGGAUUCUGCAAACCAUAUCUUCUGGAAGACUGGCUUCCAUUGUAUUGUAAUCUAGAUGAAUACCUAGAAAAGUAAUAUUGUUACAGGGACCCUGUUUUCUCUUCCGAAAUGGAGAACACGGUUCAUUAAACAGAUUAACCAUAUCAUUUAAACUGACAGGAGUGGUAUUAUGUUUCUCAACUGUUAAGUUGUCUAAGUAGUAAAUGACUAUUGGGCAUCUGCAGUUAUUAGGAAGGAGCCAGCACAGUGUUUCGGCAAAAAUGUCAGAGAUUUGGACUGCUUUUUGCCACAAAUGUAAACCUGGUAGCAAAAAUAUACUGAUUCUUCCACUUAACCACAUGCAGAUGCCUCAGGGAAGGGUGCAUGUGUAUCGUAGUAGUAUGUGUAUGUAUGUAUUUGGUAGUAGUUUAAAAGAGCUGGGUAUGUUGGUUUUACUUAACCAGGCGCUGUGACCUGUGCCAUAGAUGGCUUUAAUUGUGUCAUCCACUUUUGUGUAUUGUAAUGAGAAGUCCUCUGAAAGUAUGAGGGAAUUUAAACUAGGUGUAGUGGAAGAGUGAGGAGCUGAUAAAUCGAUUAUUAGUCUCUCUUUUUUUUAAUUGAAUUUACUAGUGGUAACGCCAAGAUGGCUAGUCCUCCAAUUGGAAAAAGAUGGUUCUUGAAAUGGGCAUAUCAUAAAACCUUUCUCUAGUUUCUUGUUUAGAAGCAGGUUAACUAAUUGGCACUUGUUGGUAGCAGACUGGAGAUUGGCACACUCAAUAGUACUUGUAGCGAGGAAUACUAAACCUGUGUGGAACCCAAAUGAAAACCCUGAAAUCAAAAAUUCCACCAAAUGAGGCAAAGGAUGGUUUGCCAAGCAAAGACUCAGCCUGUAAAUAUUCACUGAAGAUAGUUACUGUUUUGGGAACAAACAAUUAGGACACAUGGUUUUUGCAUGGACCCUGAAACACAAGGACCCACAUCCCCCUGCAUUGAAGUUGUUGAACACUUGUGCUUUUCCUAGGAAGACAAAGGGUCUUUAUCCUUCAACUCUUCUUGGACAGGUCUAAAUGUUGGAGCUGUCGGAGCCUGACUAGUAGAGGGGAGGCUGGCUUUAUUGAGGUAAAGAUUAGUGGAAUGGGUAGUGGAAAUACAUAUUGCACACACUGGUUCCUUGAGCCCCGCAAAAUGCAGCAAAAAAUUCAGUAUCAAGUUGAUCCCUAUUGGUUUUAAUGUUUAACUGGGACAUCGCAGCUGGUGCUCUAGCUGAAAAAAAAUGUAUGGUAGUCCUAAAAAAGGAAUAUUUGUGCCAUAGGUCUACCAGAUUGUGCAUAUAUAAAUACAAUUCUUCCCUGCAGUGGGCAUAAUCAGAGCAAAUCACAUCUCCUAAAAGACCAAAGAGCAAAACAAAUUCUAGGAUAGCAACAUUUUUGUUGAGCCUAAGGUUCCUUGCUUUCAUCACUACUGAGAGAUGCACAGACGUAUAUGACUUAUUGCCAAUUACGUCUUGUGAUUCUAUGAGAGACACUAAAUGAACAUCUUUCCCUUCUAAGAUGUCUAUCUGUAUGGCUAGUGGGACUAGGUGAGUGAGAGUGACAAGAUGACUUAUGUUUGGUUAGUUGCAGAUGAUGUAUAACCCUGGUAAUUAUUGCCUGAAGGGGGAGCAGAUGGUAGAUAAACUGGAGCUGAUAAUAGGUCUGCUAGGUUGGCGGACUCCAAAGUCUCAAGUCUAUUGUUUAUUGUGUUUAUGGAUACUGCUACUGAAGAAAUCAUGGCAUGUAGCUCUGUCAGUUCUGUUGGACAGUUCAUUCCUCACUGGACUCUGGCCUUGACCAGAUCUCAUCAGAUCUCAACCCUUGUUGGGAUCUCAUCAGCUGGAAUAAUUCAGCUUUUUUUGCCAUGGCUGUGUAUGCAAAGUUUCUGUGUUUUAACUCUGCUUUAAUUCUACACAUCAGACAUGUAGUGAGUAGUGAUUACUCUGUCAUUCUAUAGAAAAUAGUGUGAACUGGUUGGCUAAUUAGUACCAAGUGACAAAAUGACAUUACUAGUAUGUGACAAGUGAGACCCUACUAGUUGCCAAGCAUCUAGAGAGGCUCUAUCUAUAAGUAUGAACCAAGGGGCGUUGAGGUCACAAAUGUCGUGGCGGGGUGUUGGCCUCUCAGUUAUAAUAAUCAGAUUUCAAGACAGAUUGAGUGUGAUUGUUGGGGCUCUGACUAUACUAAUUGGAAUAUCUAAAUGAAUACAUAUUAUAUCAUUUAAAGUAUAUCUAGGAAUUCUACUAGACCUGUAACCGCUGUAAUUUAAUGCAGAGUCAAUACAUACCUUACUGUAUUUAUGCAAAGAAUGGGAAGAUGCACCUAAUAUUGUAGGAUAAAUUUAAAGUUAACUAAAGUAUAGAAAAUUAUUGGGAGAGCAGAAAUAAUAAUAAAUUGGUUUGGAUUAAUUGAAUAGAAAUGAAAAAUAGAUACCAACCUACCGAUAAGACUUGAUAAGACAGAUAAUUGACAAAUAUAAGGUAGAAUGAAUUAUAAAGUUGUAUAGCCCUAAUAGGGCCGACAGAAUUGUAGACUAUAAUAAAUUUAACCAUAUCGACCAUUUGUGGCCUUAAUUAAAGGGACACUAUAGUCACCAGAACAACUACAGCUUAUUGAAUUUGUUCUGGUUUGUAGAAUCAUCACCUUCAGGCUUUUUGCUGUAAACACUGCCUUUUCAGAGAAAAUGCAGUGUUUACAUUACAGCCUAGUGAUAACUUCACUGGCCACUCCUCAGAUAGCUGUUAGAGAUCCUUCCUGGGUCCUAUGGGGAAGCAUUGUGAUUGGAUCAGGCUACCACUUCUGAUGAUGUCAGCCGACUGCUCGUUUUUCUGAGUCUAACAGCAUGCACAGUUACAGCUUCAGGCUUGAAUAUAGUAAGAUUUUUACUAUAUUUAUGGAGGCUUGAGGGGCCCCGGGGGGGCUAGAUGGUAGUUUUAACACUAUAGGGUCAGGAAUACAUGUUUGUGUUCCUGACCCUAUAGUGAUCCUUUAACUAGAAGGCAGACAUAAUAUGUGAUACUAACCACCAGCAAGGCAUAUUAAUUAGUGUGAACAUAAUCAGGCCAAAUGUUGUCCUGCAAAAUCUUAGAUUUAAAAGUAGCCUAAAAAAGAACUUAAGUUAUUUUGAAAUCACAUGUUUAACAGAGCGGCUAAACGAUUUUACAGAUUAGCUGAAAGAGGGCUCAAUGACUGCUACAGAGCUGUCGAACAAGGGCUAAUAUUAACAAUGUGGUCAAACAAGGGACGAAUGCUUAAUACCGAUUGGCCAAACGAGAGUCGAGUGCCUGCUGCAGAGCAGCUGAAUUAGGCUCAAAAUUUAGAGUGUUAAACACAGCUGGUCUCCGAUAGAGUUGCUAGCUGAAUGGGAUCAUUGGUCGAAAGAGUGUUCGUCCGAACGUGCGGAACGGGCUAGACGAAUGUGCUGGGCCUAACGUCGAGAACUUGGCAACACCAUCAGGCGACGGCAUUAUAGAAGGUGCUGAUUUUCUGAUUAGAACCUGAGGGUUGAGUUGAGGGUCCACUGCAAAAUCGGUUUUAAAUGAAGAGGUUGUGCAUAGUUGUCAGUUUCAGAUUGCUGCAGACAGAGCAGGCAUUUCACAGUGGAAUGAGGUUUAUUUGGUUUCUGGUAGGCUUAGUGUGAGCAGAGGAGGUGAAGUGCACUGGGUUGGGAGAGACAUCACCAACUGUUAGAAGAAGUAGGAGAAACAAUGACAGGAGAUGAGAGUGGGUUUUAUAUGGAUGAGUCUAGGAUGAGAUUGUUUGGCAGUAGUAGAGAAAGAGUGCAGGGCAUGAGAUGAGUGAAGGGGACAGUGUAGCAGAUAGGGGGAAGUAUGGAGGCUGAGGGAAGUAGGGAUAAGGAGUGAUCAUAGGGGUGGGGGAGGUAAAAUUUUAAUCAUAAGGGUGGGGGAGGUAAAAGAAGAGGAGGAGAUGAGAGACAAUUGCUCAGAUAAGUGGACUUGGAGAUGGGGAAGUAGGACAAGAGUAGUGAGGAGAGGAGAUGCAGUGGUGUGCAAUGUUUGAGGAAAUAAAGGAUAUAGAAUUAAUUUGGAUAUAUGCAAACAAAUUCAUAUUUACACACACAGACCCGUACACAAACAUACUAUUUUUUUUUUUUUUUUAAAUGAGGUCCACCCUGCCUCCUUUUUUUUACCUUGAGAAGAGCUGGAGUGGAACAUCAUCCCUGAAGUCCUGGGAAUGUCUUCAGUGACUGCCCACCUCCCAGCAGCUUGGUACUGAUGCAGGGCUGGAGGUGGCAUCACGGCUCCAGCAUCAGUGCAUGAGGGAGCUUGCUAUUCAGUGCAGGUAGAUCCCAAUAGCUCCCUCAUGGCACCACACUAAAUUCCCAUUCAACAGCUGAUACAUGCCACGGUACCCCCCCUGCUUUAGGGGGAGGGAGGAGGUACUCUGUUUUUCCCAGCAAACAAAUGUGACUCCAAGUACCAGUUUAUAAUUCAAAAUGGAUACCAGUUUAUUUCUUCAAAAAAUGUAAGCAAAUUUGCACAGUAACAUUUUUUUUUUUUUAUAGCGCCUCAAAAGGAGUCACCAACUACUGCGUAUCUACGACACUCUCCUAAUCCAUUGCAAAAGUAAAUCAGGUCCUAUGACAGUUAAGAGAGAAAAAAGCAAUUUAUACUGACGGAUCUCUGCUUGCUUUAAUUGGGGCAUAAUUUCUAGUGACAUCAGACGGAUGGCUUUUGAUUACUGAAGCUCAAGAGGGACAAAUUUCAUUAUCAGUGAACAAUAGGCCUCUGUUUUGGAGAAACAGUGAUACAAUAGAGUCUCUGCAAUCUCCUCAACAGAAAUAGAUAAUGUUUCAAAUGUGUCCAAGAUUUAGUAUUAUAUACAGGUUCAGAGUGACUGAGGCUUCUAAUAAAUUAUCCGUUAUUCUAAUUAGUUUACAGUAAAAAAAACAAUUUUGGACAAAUCUCCAUGUUUUAAAAUGGAAAAGAGGAAUAAUUUAAAGUCGGAAUCUCUUGCAGUUUAAACUUUAAGAGAUUCAGUUAAAAAAGAGUGAGUCACGGGCAGUUGAAAAUGUAGAUACUUGAUUUAGGUACUCGAGUAUUAGCUAUAUAAUGCAGUUUGUUCUAUAUGAAUUGUUUCUGCUUCAGACAAAUUUAACAUGGAUUCCUUUAUUUAUUGGUUGCUCAGCAUGUCCAAAGUUGCACAGUGGCAUACACAAAGUUGCAUAGUGAAGUAGACAUAGUUGCCACAAUCUCUGACAAGAUUAUAAAUUACCCUUACUUAUUAAAAAAAUGAAUUGAUAUACUCAGCGAACUAAUAAUAGCAACACUAGUAGUUUAUUAGCUUAUUAAACUCUCACCACUGCAUUUUGUUUUAUCUUGAACACAGCAGUCGGGUGUAUAAUAGACAAAUACCCCUGUGCAGCUACCUUUAAUUGUUAUUUACAGCAAUUUCACUAAAUUAUUAUGAAUGAAACUGUUGGCAAGUGCAGAACUUCAUUUUUCAUAAACUGAUGCACACUAAGGGUUUACAGGAUAUUGAUAUGAGAGCUAACUACCAAAGCUAAAAAAAACAAAGAGCAUUUUAAUGCAUUAUGUGUAAAAUACAUAGUUCAUAUUAUAUUAGGAACACAAUUUAAUCCAUAAUAUAGAUAUAUUAUGAAAUAUAUAUAUAUAUAUAUAUAUAUAUAAAUAUAUAUAUAUAUAUAUAUAUAUAUAUAGUGUAGAUUGGAUUAGCCGUGUAAGUCCAAUAGACAAGAUGCCAAAAUACCAGAGUAUUGCAGUAUGCAAUUAUACCUUUUUUAUUGGACUAACAUAAUAUUUCAAAGACAAGCUUUCAAAGACAGACUGAUCAGUAUUGCUUCAGACCUGAGGAAGAGAGGAAAACUAUUGAAAGAUGGUAUGGGACACAGGGAGAGGAGGGGGGAAAAAUAAAGGGUAUGGUACACCUGGAGGGGAGGGGGGAGAAAUGGGGUGUAUGGUACACCUGGAGGGGAGGGGGGAGAAAUGGAGGGUAUGGGACACCUGGAGGGGAGAGGGAAGAGGGGAAUGAGGGAGAAAUGGUACACAGGGAGGGGAGGGGGGAGAGAGGUAACAAUGGGACACAGGGAGGGGAGAGGGAGAGAAAGAACAAUGUCUCAGGGGGAGGGGAAGAGAAAGAACAAUUGGACACAGGGAGGGGAUGGGGAAGAGAGGGAACAAUGGGACACAAGGAGGCAAAGAGGUAGGGCAUGGGACACACAGAGGGGAGGGAGGAAAAUGGAGGGUAUGGGACACAGCGAUGGGAGGGGGAGUGAUGGAGGGUAUGGGACACAGGGAGAGAAGGGGGAGAGAGGGAGGAAUGGGACACAGGGACAGGAGGGUGGAGAGAUGGAACAAUGGGACACAUGAAGGGGAGAGAGGGAGGGUAUGGGACACAGGGAGGGGAGGGGAGAGAUGGGGGGUAUGGGACACAGGGAGGGGAGGGGGUAGAGAGGAAGAAAUGGGACACCGGAAGGGGAGGGUGAGAGAAGGAACAAUGGGACGCAUGGAGGGGAGGGGGAGAGAGGGAGGGCAUGGGACACAUAGAGAGAAGGGGGGAGAGAUGGAAGGUAUGGGACACAGGGAGAGAUGAAGGAGAAAUGGGACACAUGGAGGGGCUGGGGGCAUGGGCGUCCGCAGGAAUUUUUCCAGGGGGGGGGGGCAUAAUUGUAAUGACAUCCAUGCUUGGUACCUUUUUGACAGUGUCAUGAAAGGGAAGGGGCAUAGCCAUUAUCACAUAAAGCCAGGGUGAAUAGCGUUUUCACAACUAUGGUGUCAGGAAUAUAUGUUUGUAUUACUGACACUAUAGUGUUCCUUUAAGCAAAUUAAAGGACAUUUCUGGUCACCAUAACAACUUCACCUAAAUGAGAAUGCUAUGAUGCCAGGAAGCCCCUGUGUGCUCGCUUUCCUUUAAGGGGUUAAAUCGCUCUCAAAUGGUUUAACCCCAAAGGCUUCCUCCAGCUCCAGGUCGCUCAGUGGUAUUUGGCUUCUGAAACAGAGUGUCAGGAAGUGCAGAUUGACGUCAGGCAUGGGUGCCGCUGACUGGCUAGAGUGGUCAGUUGACGCUCUAAGCCAAUCGCUAGUUCCCGGUUCAUAAAAUAUUUUUACUUUUUUAUGAAUGGGGAGCUACUGAUUGGCUUAGAGUGCCAGCUGACCGCUCUAGCCAAUCAGCAACACCCCUACCCAACGGCACUCUGUGCUUCCUGACACUCAGUAAAUAAAAGUGAACACAUUAACACCAAUAUUUUUUUACCUUUGGAGAUGAGAAGGUCCAGCGUUUCCCUGCCAGGCCCAGGUACCAAAGCCUUAUGAUGUGGUGUCCAGAAUAAAGUGGAGGGUUCACUUCAUUUGUCCUUCCUGCUCCAAUCUCCUUUUCCUCUCCUUCAUUUGACAGUCUUUUUUUUUCUUCUGACACUGUUUUCUAUCCUUGGCCCCUUCUGCUCUUUUACCUUUCUGCUCCUUUCUGCUUAUUUUGCGCCCUUCUGCUCCUUUCUCAUUCUGAUCCCUUUCUGCCUCCUUUUCUACUUUACCUUUGUGCUCCUUGCUGUCCCUCUCUGCUCUUUCUCCUACUUUACCUUUGUGCUCCUUCUGAUUAUUUCUGCUCCUUUACCUUUGUGCUCCUUGCUGUCCCUUUGUGCUCCUUGCUGUCUCUUUCUGCUCCUUGCUGUCCCUUUCUGCUCCUUGCAGGCCCUUCCUGCUCAUUCUCCUACUUUAUGUUUGUGCUCCUUCUGCCCCUUCCAGCUCAUUUCUGACCCUUUCUGCUCCUUCUACUUUACCUUUGUGCUGCUUUACCUUCCAGCUCCUUGCUGACCCUUCCUGUUCAUUUCUAUAUAUCUAUAGGCUGCUGCCCCACCCAAAUCUAUGGGCUGCUGCCCCCCUCUCCAAAUCUAUGGGCUGCUGCCCCCAAAUCUAUGGGCUGCUGCCCCCCCCCAAAUCUAAAGGCUGCUGCCCCCAAUCUAAAGGCUGCUGCCCCCAAAUCUAUGGGCUGCUGCCCCCUCCCCACAUCUAUGGGCUGCUGCCCCCAAGUCUAUCUGCUGCUGCCCCCCUCUCAAACCCUCCCCCCCAUCCCCCACUUACCUGAUCUGUAGGCUGUCUCUGGCUGCAUGUGUUGCUCCCCUGUUUCAAUCAGCAGAGAGAAACAGGGAUAAGAUGCAGCUUCCUAACCCUGUCUCUCUCCAUACACAGCGCCACCUACUGGCCGGCGCCGGUAUUGCAGUUCAUUUUAAAUCUCACACAAAAUAGCAGAACACGCUGAAAAAUCCAGGGAGGGGCAAGUGCCCCCCCUUACCCCCCCCUGCGGACGCCCAUGGCUGGGGGUGAGGAAGGUAUGAGAAACAUGGAGGUGCUAAGGGGAGAGGGAAUGUGACACAUGAAGGGGCUGGAUGAGGAGGAGCCUAUGGGACACAUGGAGGGGCUGAGGGUGGAGAGGGAAUGGGGCACCGGGGCCCAGUGGAUUCUAGUUACACCUCUGACUUCACUAUAAGCAGUGUCAUUAGCAUGUGAUUAACAACAGUUGCAGUUUGGCUAAUGUCAAUUCUGUACAAAUUCUUUACACGAAGGGUCAUUCAUUGCCAAGUUGACACUCUCAGCCAAUGAAUGACCAACAGAGAGCUGUGUAUAUUCUGUGCAUAGAGUGUCUUUCAUUGGCUGAAAAUGUCAAGCUAAUGCUUUUGGCCAAUGAAUGACCAGGAAUAUGAGCAUUCCAGAAGGCUCAGCGCCCAGUGGACUCACAUGUAAGAGAGCAAACCAUUCCAAACCAAUAUACCCUAUUACCAUGGAAUGGGACCAGAGUGCUCCUAGCACCAUAACCACUAAUGCAGGCUGAAGUAGUUAUGAUGCUUGGAGUAAGCCUUUAAUGGAUGCAUCUCAAGAAGCCUAGGACCUAACUAUGCCUGCGGACCCAGAUUGUAAUCAGUCUUUUGGUUCUUUAUAGCACCUCUCCUCUUUAUGACAAAUUCUCCUUUUUCUACCACUAGGUUAAUAGAUAAAAUCGAUGAUAUCAUAGAAAGCAGUGCCGAAAAUGCUUAGUUAGCAGCAUGUCUAUGAGAAACAGUACCAACACUGCCAACUCCUGUGCAUUAGGACUUGCUGCGCUGUCUACAGAUACAUUGCAACAUUCAAGAUUAUUUUUACAAAUUAAAUCUAAAUAGAAAAAGGGAGAAAAAUGGCUGACCUCCAAUUCAGUUAGUCACAGCUAGGCUAUUUUAGCCUCAGUUUUGCCAUUUGGAUUUAAUUUGCGAAAUUUCAGAGUUUAGUGAAUAAGCCUGAAAAUGUGUCUGUAAUUACAUAAAUCAUAAAUCAAAAUUGCAAUUAAAUAAAAACAAUUAAAUAAAACAUAGUUGGUCAAAGAGUACCUUUCAAAACUGACUUAAAAGACCACUAUGGGCACUCAUAUUACUUCAUCUCUAUAUAGUGGUCUGGGUCCUUUUAGCCCUGCAAUGUAAAAUAUUGGGGUUUUGUAGAUAUGCCAAUCUUUAAUUGCAAGGCUAACUGCCUUACUGACAGCAUUAGAAGGUGCUUCCGUUGCUAUAACUCGGUCAGACUCGGUUAUGUGAUGUUCUUCAUCCUCACACAUUGCAUGAAUGACCUCAAAUGCUUAUCAUUGGGAAGUAUUGAAUUCAAUGCUCCCCUAUGAAGCCCAUUUUAAUGACUGAGGUCUGUGGAGGAUCCUGUGAUACCAUGGGAUCCUUCACAGAUAAUGAGUGCUUCCUUGUAGCGGUCACUAGUUAUGACUGGGGAGAAUGACAAAACUUGACUGCAGUAGUUCUGCCUUUUGUCAAGUUUUGUCAAGUGCAGGAAAUAUAUUAAGACAAAGUAGUCCCUACUUUCUCUCAGUAUAUUGUGUGACUGUGUUGGAAUUUCAGUGAAAUUUCAACACAAUGUGAGUAUUUCACAUGAUUUAGAGUACAGCUAUUAUAUCUCUGCAGCCAUGAUGGUGACUGCUGGGAGAUUGACAUUUCAAGAUGGCGGUAGCUCCACCCAGUGUCAAGAAGUGUCAGGCAUGGGAAAUAUAAUGACACAAACUAGUCCCUACUUUAACUCAGUAUAUAUUUUAACUGAAAUUUCCCGAAAUUCCAGCACAGUCAGUGUGAGUAUUUCUUAAAGAUUUUAUAUUUGUGAAAUGCUCAGUUUGUGGUGGUGUGUGUGGGGGGAGGAGAGGGUGGUUAACAGUGCCACUCUAACUGUUCUUUCAGAAGAUAAAACAUAUCAUUAUUAUUUCUAGAUUUUAAAGCCCCAGUUUUACCAAAAUUUGUUUUACUGCUCAUUGUUUUUAUAAGCAGGAAACCAAUCUGUAUUCAGUAAUGGCUGACAAAUGUGGCAGGCUUUGUUGUGUUUCCCAGUAUGUUUUGUUUUGAUAUUCUGGGUCAAACUAUCUUGAAGUCUCGUUAAAUCCUUGGGAUAUUGUGAUAUUCUCCAUUUUAACAGUAGGAAUAAUAUCACUUGCUACAUAUGUAUCAGGGGAUCUCUCAGAACAAUAACAGUGCAUUCAUUUCCUGGCACUGCCAUCUGCUGUGUGUUUGUAUCUAACAAAACAAAUGUCUCCCAUACCCUCAGUGAACUGAUUUCCAUUCUUAUGUUGUGUAACUGUGUCGAUGCCAGGCUAAUAAUGGCAUUGUAAUGAUAGUCUUGGAAUCAAACCCUUGGGAUUCUCUAGUACCUAUUUAGUAUUUUUAAUAUAGUGUAAACACAACAAUAGUUAAUCUAUUUUUACCAUGGAUAAUAUUGUAGCUCAAUGUGCAGUUUUGCAACAAGGUGUUCUUUUUAUAUUUGGGGUAUUGCAGAUAUUGUAUCAGAAGGCAUUAAGAAGGACAAUGCUUGUUAAUUCUUGCAAACAAUUAUAGUCUGUCCGAGAAGGUUUUCAAUGCAUGAUGUCAAAUCUUAGUCUAAACACGUAAACAUAGUCAAUAUAAACCAGAUUAAUUUCUCCAGCAGGACAUUCUAAUCCAGACAUUGACAAAGCCUGGAAAAGAUACGUAACUAGAAGUAGGUCACUACGAUUCCUAGGUUAUUGAGUUCUACAUGUUCACUAGGUCCGUAUUAAUCUAGACUAAGAGGGAGACAAAUGGCUUGGAGGUAUAAAAAGACUGGUGGCAGGGAGAUUGCAUAAUUUGUAGAAACUGGAGCAUGGGGGAACAUCAUCAAUAAAAUGAAAUACAUAUUUUGUAAUUGUGAGUUUUCCAUAGAUGCAUUGAUUAAAAUAUUGCUAAAACAAUAUCAUCUCACUAAAGGGGAUGGAUCCAUGUCUUGAAGAAGGACAAUACUAAACUAUAAAUAGUUAUAAACUGUUACAAAGUCUCAAGUAACCUAGACACAUUGACUGAAUGAUGUCAGGAAGUUCCACACAAGCAUACCAACACACAAACACAAACAAACUAUAUACUGGAAUUUGCGCCAUAUGUCUGUUCAACCGUAAUUCACCACUGUCACAUUAAGUGCACCCACACUUAUUAUAUAUCAUUUUGUUCAGGAGAAACAGGGCUUUAAAUUAUCAUUAACUAUUCAUAUAUGGAACAUAAUUUAUUAUGAAUAAAAUUUAAUAAAAUGUGAUAAAAUAAGAUUAUUUUUUUUUUAAAUUUGCAUUAACAUCUGACAUUUUAGCUGUAAAUGUCAUAAUACUGUUAGGUUUUACUGCAAAAACAUGCACAUAUUUGUAAUCAGCAAUGUCUCACAAGUACAACAGUACCCCCCAUUAACAGGUUUUAUGGUGUUUUUGAAAGUUACAGGGUGAAAUAUAGAACGUUCCAUUUUCAAAUUGAAAUUUGCCAGAUUAGUAAUGUUACCUUUGAGACGGUGUGGUAGCCCAGGAAUGAGAAUUACCCUCAUAAUGGCAUACCAUUUGAAAAAGUCGACAACCCAAGAUAUUGAAAGUGGGGUAUGUUUAGUCUUUUUUAGUAGCCACUUAGUCACAAACACUGGCCAAAGUUAGCGUUCAUAUUUGUUUUUGUGUGAAAAAAGCAAAAAACUAAUAUUUGGCCAGUGUUUGUGACUAAGUGGCUACUAAGAAAGACUGGACAUACCCCACUUGCAAUACCUUGGGUUGUCUACUUUUGCAAAUGGUAUGCCAUCAUGGGGGUAAUUCUCAUUCCUGGGCUACCAUACGCUCUCAAAGGCAACAUAACCAAUCUGGCAAAUUUCAAUGUCAAAAAAAUGAAAUGCAAGCCUUAUAUGUGACUCUCUAACUUUCCAAAACACCAUAAAACCUGUACAUGGGGGGUACUGUUAUUCUCGGGAGACUUCACUAAACACAAAUAUUAGUGUUUUAAAACAGUAAAACAUAUUACAACAAUAAUAUAGUCCAUAAAAGUGCAGUUCGUUUGUAAAAAAUGCAAAAAACUUCACUUUUACUUAAAAUAUCAUCAUUGUAAUACAAUUUACCAGUUUGAAACACUAAUAUUUGAGUUCAGCGAAGUCUCCUGAGUAAAACAAUACCCCCUAUGUACAGGUUUUAUGGUGUCUUGGAGAGUUACAGGGUCAAAUAUAGUGCUUGCGAAUUAAAUUCUCUGCACUUUCUCCCUGUGUUGUCAGGCAUGUCAAUCAAAUUUGUAUUAAUCAAAUCACAUAAUUAUGUUAAAAGAUUACUUAAAUAUACAUGUAGAAUUUUAAUAUAUAUGCAUUUAUAGGUAUUUAAAUUCUAUGUGUAUACCAAUGUCAUCUUUUAUGUAAUUAUAUGUAUUUAUCUAUAUAUAUAUUUGCGGUUAUUUGUAUUUGAUAUAUAGAUAGAUAUAUAUAGAAUGUCAUUCUAAGUGUAUUUUGUUACCAAUAUAUAUAUAUAUUAAUAACAAAAUACAGUUAGAAUGAAAUUACAUAUGAAUAUAUAAUUUAUAUUAAAUUUUGUUUCAAUAUUUUAUUUAUUUAUUUUAUUAUUUUAUUUAUUUAUUAUUGUAAUUAUAUGUAUAUAUAUAAUAUAUGUGUAUAUAUCUAUUAUAUGUUACGUCAUUCUAAGUAUAUUUUAAUAAUAAUAUAUGUACUUAUAUUAAUAUUAAAAUACACUUUGUAUGACGUUACAUAUAUAUAAUAUGUAUAUAUAUUAUAUGUAUAAUAUAUAUACAUAUAUUAUAUAUAUAUAUACAUACAUUUCUAUUUUAUUUUAUAACGUUUUAUUAUUUAUUUAUUUUUUAGUUUCCCACCAGCAGGGGGAUUGUCUGACAUUUUAGACAGUUCCCCUGCUGGCAGAUCCACAGCCAGCUAUAGGGGGCCAUGUGAUCGCUCUUUGAAAGCGAUCACAUGGCCCCCGGGGGACUCAUUUGCCGGGGGAGGGCUGCCUGGGCUGUCAGGCAGCCCUCCAGAAGAGGAUCGCGGCGGAGGUAAGUGCACCGGACCUCCAGGGGCUCAAAGCCGUUACGGCGCUCUAUGCCGCCGCAGCGGCUUUAAAGCCCUUUUAAUGCGGGACGGCAUUGAACACCGUAACGGCGUUAAGGGGUUAAAAAUGGGUCAUUCUGAGAGCUUAGUCAAUUCAAGCGUGAUACUGUGAUGUAAUGACACUUGUGCAAUAAGUCAGUUUGUGAAAUUUCAGCUCUGCUAGAUAUUUGACUGUCAUGAAUAUGAAGUGCUACGCUCCUUUUAUCUACUACCCUACCCUUAUGCACUAGACUGCAUAAACCAUUAACCACUACACUAACACUGUCACUAAACGUUAACCUUAUUCUGCACUAAAUGUAACAUAUAAGAUAUCGUCUAAUAUAGAACAUGUAUUAUGAGAUAAUAGUGCCAUCUCAGGGUCCUGGAGAACUAUGGUCUUGUGGUUUAUUAUGAUGUCUCGGAGUGAAAAUUCUUUUCCCAUAAUGCACAUUUUCACUUUUAUGCUUAUUCUGUUUCACUCCCAUAGUACAUAGUACAUGGUUUAACGUAUUUAUACCUUAAACCAGCAAACGUAAUGUAGUGUAAAACCACAGUAUAAAGAUGGGCAGAGGAUCAAGCAGCCUGGACGCACAUGUUGUAUGUUCCUUUGUCAUGUGGAUUUUCCAAGGUUAAGGGGAGAUGUGCAAUUGGAUAUUAGUGCAUACAUGUACAUCAUUAUCCACACCAGUUAUGCCAAGGAAAGCGACUUGAGCUAGGGAUUAGCUGAGAGACUGCAGACACUUCUUAGAUGAUUGUUUUAUGUAUUACCCCUAUUAUUUGUGUGCAGGGGCUAUUUACUAGAGUGUGAAUUUAUGUUAAUUCAAACUUAAUUUAAAAUUUUAGGUUCAUACCAACAGAUUUGUGGUGGGGAAAAAAGUGUGGAUGAAAACUUCUUCCACCUGAAGUAAGUGGAAAGUUAAUACAUUGCUAAACACAAAUACACACACCAAGCAUGCCAUAAGACUUGUUUUUCCCACAUAAAUCUCACUUUAACAGUGCUCUCACUACUGCAAGGGGUUCUGGAUAGGCAUAUGCAAAUGAGUUUAACAAAGAAUUCCACUUUAUACAUGGAUUGCUUAGAGUAUGUGUCUGCUGUAUACAACAACUUUGAAACACAACUCAGGAAGAGGAGCAAAGCCAAUGAACCACUCAUAGACAGCUGUUUUGUUAAUGCAACUCAUCAGCAUGAGGUUGGUUACUGGCUUGCUAUGGAGGCUUGGCGUUACUUGUAAAGUACAUACCAACAAAGUUGUGGUGGGGAAAAAAGUGUGGAUGAAAACCCCUUCCACCUGAAUUAAGUGGAUAGUUAAUACAUUGCUAAACUCAAAUACACACACCAGGCAAACCAUUAGACUUGCUUUUCCCACAGAAAUCUCACCUUAACAGUGCUCUCACUACGGCAAGGGAUUCUGGGUAGGCAUAUGCAAAUGAGCUUAACAAAGAACCACAUUUAAAUUUUAGGUCAAAAUAGCUAAACUGAAAACAGCAGACUUUUGUUUUGAACGGACAACAAUUGACACUUGAGUGUGUUGAAUCCAACCGAGAUUGUCCUUUCAUAUGUCUCUUUAACAUUGUAAAUGGUGAUAAACUCUGCAUUCAGGGGAAGCGUAGUAUAUACUGCCAAGUGGAAUCUACGCUGAGUGGUUAAACUCUACACAGUAUAAAUGGUCAUGUCAGUACUGAAAAGACAGACAGUUGAUAUUUUUGAGGUGAUGGGAGAAGAGAAGUACCCUCCUUAUCAUGGUCCUUAGGGAUUCCUUGUCACUUGGAUACUUAAGCUGAGAGCUGUUCCACUUAUCUGCACUGCUACAUGGGAUGAUGCACAGAUCUCAGGCAGUUAGAAGAUGCAAGUAAAUCACAGGAAAAAAAACCAUCUUAUUGAAAGCUGUCCCUUGUUGUGGCUGUGUUCUGCUCUCUUACACUGUAAUGUACAAUAUCACUCCAGGCACAGUGAAGAGAGGGGCAAGUUUAACUCUUUAUUGUCAGGAAAAUGUUUUGUGGUUUUUUUUUCCAGCACUGGACUGGGUGAACAUGGAUAGUACUAUUGGCACAGAACUACAUCUCCCAUGUUCUACAAUCUGCAGAUUUAUGUAACAUUGAUUUAUUUUAAAUUCUCUAGUAUCUCCUAUCGUGUCCACUUUGAACCACUCCAAAGAUGGACCAGGGUGAAAUUAGCAGAUGUAGGCGAUGGGUAUUCACAGAUGAGCUAUCACUUUCAAUCAGCUCAGAGCCAGAGGUGCCUGGGCAUGAUAGGAGUUAGAGACUCAGAACAGCUAAAAAUUGUCAUCCCAACACAGGUAUUAUGGAUUAGUGAAUACACUCACCUAUAUACAUUUUAUUGGUCAUGUUUUAAACACAUAAAAUAGUUCAUUCACUAAAGAAUGAAUUAUGAUGAGCUGAAAGUUAAAUUGACAAAAUCUAUCUGAAUAAUUUUAUAGAAGGAUAUUUAACAGAGAGAGCACACUAUAAGUAAAGCAGAAAACAACUCAAACCAAAAUAAUGAAGAGACAGGGUGCUCACUAUAUGCCUCUGUUCUCAUUGGAGUCUGUAAAUACAACCCAUAGAGAAUGAAUAAGGAGCACACCCCAUGAAAAGUAACACAAUUUGUAUUAGAUUAAUCUAUAUCCAUACAUGAAUGUACAUCUGGAUAAAUAAAAAAGAGUGAUACACUAUACAUAAAUUAAAAUCAUAACAUAUAUACAAUGAAAACAAAAUAAAUCCAAAGAAAGAAGCACAAAACCAAUAAAAAUUAAUCAUGAAAAAAAAUAUGACAAUAUAGGUGUCUGGAUUCAUACCAAAUGAAAGACCAGAUAACACAAGAAAACAGUGUGAGAGGCGAGGGAUAACAGAGGGGGAAAAAAUAAAAGACUGCAAUCCCAAUGUUGUGGCAAAACUGCCCUUUUCAAGGGAGCAUGAAUAAUUUAGAAAAUCAAAGGUUUCCAGCAGGUGUGUUGACUUAAAUGUGACAGUUUUGGUUUUCAGGUCAUCUCAAUUCACUGUUUAGAGAAUAAACGUCUUUCUAAACAGAUCUUGUGAUCAACCAGCUGUUUUGAAGUAUAUAGAACAUAGUGCAUUUGUUACGAGAGCAUGCUCGAAUCAGGCAUCCGUGCCCUAUGUACCACAUGUUGAGUGCUGCUUUACUCAGACUAAUUGUCGCCACAAUUUUUUACUAGAAGUGCAUGGAUUCAUUCAUAUUCCAAAAGGAAAACUGAAAGGCAGCUUCAAGGCAGGAUCUGUGAGCUGAAUAGGAAAAUGAAACAGAGAUAUGUUUGUCAAGCUGCAUUAGUUUGUCAUUUCCUUUGCUGUCUGUCUGUCUAUCUGUCUGUCCGUCUGUCCGUCCGUCUCUGUCUGUGUUCUUUCUGCCUCUUCUCAAUAUCAAGUCCCACGUACGUGUAUUCCAUAGUACUUUUACUUUUAUGUCUUCGCUUUCUUAGUUUAAUGGCAAGAAUCAGAUUGCACCAUCCGGUGCUUAAAAUCAGGUGCUGCCUCCUCCAUUCUGUAUUCAAAUAUAAAAUACCUGGCCCAUAAAAGUCAGUAUGCAGACUUUGUCAGCAAAUCUUGACAGGGGAUGAGUUUGAAACAUAUCGUGUCUGUUGGUGUUACAUUUUCUAUAUUGACCUUUUAUGUGCCAUGCACAUUUACAGUUAUCUCUAAAAUGUUCUUUUUCAAAGUGUCCAUUUGAUGCAUCACAACUCUAUUCUUGAAAUAACCUGUUCUCCCUGAUCCCAGUCAUCAUUGGUUAAAGGUGCCCAUGCUCUUCUUUAGGAAUUAGAAAAAACCUCCUGCAUUGUUGUAGAUUUGUGUUUCUCUUUCUGUGCAUGGUCCCAUAUCCCAGGGAGCAAUUUUUUUAAAAAGAAAUUAUCUCCUCUAAGGAAUUCUCCUUUGUGCUUGGUGUCUAGUAGGGACAUUAUUUCUGUUGUUUUUUUUGUUGCAACAUCGGCAGUAAGUAAACCCCUACUUCCGGAAUGCCAUACAGAGCAGGAAUAGCCAUAACUUUAGAUGGCUUACUACAUCACAGCGGUUAGACUGGAACAUACAUUUGUUUGGACCCAUCCACCAUCCCUAUGUGAAGAAUGAAGGGCAAGGGAACCAAACAGAUGUCUUACCUAGGGCCCUGUGGGAUCGUAAUCCUUCUCUGGAGCCAAAUCCCAACCUAAAAUGAUGAAUCAGAGGUAAGGGCUCUAAAAGAAGCCCAUUAUUGCCUGCCCAAAGCAACCAGGACUAUAUAGGUCUGGUUGUAACUAACAGAAGGAAGAAGAAAAGGUACAUCUGUUCAAUCUUUAACCCCUUAAGGACACAUGACAUGUGUGACAUGUCAUGAUUCCCUUUUAUUCCAGAAGUUUGGUCCUUAAGGGGUUAAGCGGCCAAGUGGAGGGGGAGAUGGUCAUAUCCUUUGCAUGAUUGAGGCAUCGGCAGCUACAGAGGGUGAUAUAGUUUUGGUUUAAAAAGUGUUAAUACAAUAUUUGAUCUUUGUUAAAAAUAUAACCAGCUACUAAUUAGCUAUUAAACUAUGUAUCUGAUGAUAAACUGUACAGCUAGUGAGACUUGUACGUAAAAAGUGUCCCUCUUAAAGGUAUACUCUAAGCAUCUAUACAACUUAAUGAAGCAGUUUUGAUCUAUAGAUCAUGCCCUUGCAGUCUACCUGCCAUGUAGGAAUUAAAUCAGUUUUGUUUCUGUUUAUGCUGUCCCAGCCAUACCUCACUGGUUAAGACUCGCACAACUUCUGCGAACAAAUUUUUUUUUAAUCAUGUGAUUUUUCUCUAGCAGGCUGUUAACAGAGCAGGGGAUUUCUAAAUAAUCACACUGUCCAUUAAAUUAAAUUUAGAAAUGAAAUCUCUCUUUACAAGAACUGUGUAAUUCACAGUCAGGGGAACAGUGGCCAUGGCUGCAUAAACAGAGGAAGUUAAAUAAAGCCAACUACUACAGUCUAAGCACCAAAACACCUUUAGCUUAAUUAAGUGGUUUUGGUGUAUAGAUCAUGGACUUGAAGUCUCACUGCUAAAUCACCUGCCAUUUAGAAGUUAAAUCUCUUUGUUUAUGCAACAUUGUUUUGGUGCUUAGACUGUCCUUGUAGAAAACAAACCACUGGUGUUCCAGUAGUUAAACUCCAAGAAAACAUGUCUUAUUUGCGCAGGGGUUAAAAAUAAAUAAAGAGAAAUCCAAGAUCGAGACUGAGUAAAGUGCCUUACAAGAACAAAUGCAAGUUUUGGACCAAUACUUUGGUCUAUAUGUUUCCUUAUGAAAACGUUAUCAAAAUGUAUCCCUUUUCAUUUUCUAGUUUUGUAGACUAGUCUUAUAAGCUACUAGCCACUGGAACCCUGGAGGGUUCAUUGUACAAGGAAUUUCUGCUCGACGGGGGUAGUGGCCAGUAAAACAUUUUCAGCCUUGCGUUAGUGUACCCCUUUAAGCCAUCUGAAAUGACUGCCUUUAAACAAUAUCUCUGCUGUCUAUUAUUCUCUCUAUAGAUCUUCAUAAUUCAUCAAUCCAUAAAGCAAUUCAAAGACUAAGACCCACACACCAUAUGCCUUUAACUUCUAUUCACUUUAGCAUUGAACCUAAAGUCAUUGAACAACUGAUCUGUGCAUGUUACAUGCACUUUGAGUCAUCCAGACAUUAUGUGCAUGAAAUUGUUUAUUUACUGUUGAAUUCCCUUGUCACCUGGCUAUGCAAUAUUUUUUUUAUUGAUACGAACAACCAAUCUUUAUAAUUGAAUGUUCCAAGAUGCAUGUACUCAUGCCAAACUAUCCUGACUCACUGGAUUAAUUCAUUAAACCUGCAAUGUCAGAGAGCUGGAGUAGCAUCAACAAGUGUCUGAUUCAUAUGUUAGAGCCUGGCCUAACAUAGCCAAUUUUCACAAUUUUCUUCUACUUCAUGCCCUUGCUAUUGUAUACUCACCCCCUACCCCUCCCAUUUUAUCAUAUAUCCAUUUAUAUUUCACUAAUUCCCAAGGAAUAUUAGAUGCACAAUGCUGAGACAAUCUUCAGCGCAUUGUCUAGUUUAGAAUUAAGUGUCAACAUUUCAUACAUACAAAUAAAAACAUAAGACUUAAGACAUAUUUGGUAUUUUUGUUUUACAUUGUGUGUUCAUAAAACAAAUGCAAUUGAAAAGCACAGAAGCAAGAUAUACAGUUAUCUGGGAUAUUUAAUAUCGAUUAAAUUAUGUUUCAGGUGCAUCCUGUUGACAGUCCCAUUUAGUCUUUGUCAAAAGAUGGCACAGGUGACAUCCCAUAAUAUGAUUUGGCAGAUAAAAAGCACACAACAAUGAACAUGGCAGCACGCAGCGAGGAGCCAUGAUGUCCAGAACCAAAACGAUAUUGCUUGAACAUAUCAGUGAAAUUUUAUAAGCAAGGACAGCC
rnacentral:lncRNA from 1 species